GAAGAGCCAAACCAAUGAUUAAGCUCACGUGUUGUGAACUGCAAAGUCAUUUGAACAAUUUCAAAGCCAUCAGUGACAAAGGCUUUCUCCUGAUGGAUCUUUCUGCCCAUUGAACUAGAACACUCAUGGAAACAUGUUCAGGCUCCCUCACUCCAUGUAGGUCAGACUACAGGCAAUUUCCCUAGAGACAACAGAGGCGUUUUGAAAAGACCAUAGGAUUUAUCAUCAGAAGCCAUGCAUUCAUUUUCUGCUACUGCUGCAUACUAGUGGUUUUGCCUUCAACAGUCAUUUGACCUUGAACAGCCCCUUGGCCUGUCAGAAACACAAUGUCCGUGUGUGUAAGAUGAAAACAACAAUAUUUGCAUCCCACAGGGAUGAUGAAGAUGCUAUGGGUGGGGGCUUUAUGAACAAUCAACCAAGAUUUAAAUACCUUUUCCAGGAUUCAUCUCUAUGUUUCUUUUUCUUGCCUCUCCCAUUUUCUAAAAUCUUCAAGACAAUGUUAUUAUUUCUUCACACACAUCCUCCAUUUCGAACUUCUGCCCACUCCUGUUGUUUAUCUUUUCAUUCGUUUUUAUUCAAGUGGCUGCUAAGGGCUACUCUGCAAGGUGCGUGAACACACUCUCCUCAGGCUAUCCCCAAAUCAGGACAAGUCAGCUCAGAUGAGGCUCACUUUUGCUGAACUUCAGAUGCUUUUAUCAUUUUCCUUACAAUUCUCUCCUAUUUUUUGAAGUUUAGAGGAAGAAAACUGCCUGGAUGCUAAGUGUUGAAGGAAUCAGACAGAGCUUAUUACAAACAAUCUGGGUUUCUAAGUAAAAAGCAACAUGAAAUCCUUUUACCCACAUUCAGAUAGGUCUCUUGUGUUUCUUGAAGAGCAGUCGUGGGACUAGCUAACAACCUGGGGUAUCAGUGGAAAAUACUUUCCUUCAUCUGACACGAACAUGCAGGAAAAGUCUUAAUGGGACAUUGCAGUUGUUUUGCAAAAAAAUGAAAGAAAAAUCAUUCUAUGGGCUUGCUCCUCUUGACAUGGUAGCGCUCAACUCCCAAUAUAUAUCUAUGUAUCUUAUUCAGGAUAAUAAAUGAACAUUAAAAUAUUGUUUGUGUUUAAGGUCUCAGUAAGCGAUAACUACUCACAACCUGGUUGGGGUUUAUAGGAGUUCAUAAAAUAUGCCAAGAACGUCUAAGCUUUCAUUCCCUUGUAUUGAAUCUAUAGUAAGGGAAGUAUAAUAAAUGAAAAUUAGGGCCAGGCACAUUGGCUCACACCUGUAAUCCCAGCACUUUGGGAGGCCGAGGUGGGCAGAUCACUUGAGAUCAGGAGUUUGAGACAAUCCUGGCCAACAUGGUGAAACCCCAUCUCCACUAAAAAUAACAAAAACUAGCUGGGAGUGGUGGCGGGCACCUGUAGUCCCAGCUACUUGGGAGGCUGAGGCAGGAGAAUCACUUGAACCCAGGAGGCGGAGAUUGCAGUGAGCAUUGAUCGUGCCACUGCACUCCAGCCUCAGUGACAGAGCAAGAUUCUGUCUCAACAGCAACAACAACAACAACAACAACAACAACAACAACAACAAAAGAAAAAGAAAUAGAAAAUUAGGAUUUCACAAAAACAAAUUUUAAGAGGAAGAUUACAAGAUUACUCGCUAAGUUAGUGAUGCCAAAAAAGGUAACUCCAUUUUGAAUCAAUUAUGGCUUAUUUAAAAUAUCUCAUUUUUAAGGUGGAGACAUCCAUUUACACACUUACAUUGAAUGAAUAAAGACUGUCUAUUUCAUUUACUAAGUUUAUGGAUUACAUCUAAUUUAUUUAUAUUGUUACUUAAUAGUUUUUGGAUGUGUACAAUUCUGAAGAAAUAAACUAAAAUAUGCCAGUAUAAUCAUGUGUUUUAAAUAAAGUUUCCUUACAUUUCUAAUAGUUUUUGUCUUAUAGUUUUAGUUGCUAUAUUGUUGAGCACAUGUGCAUUUCAAAUAAUUUUAACUUCAUCAUUUCUAUCCCAUGGUGUUCUAGUAAAUGGUUAGCAAUUGGCUCUAGAGGAGGGGAGGAAGAAAGCCCUGAUUUGUAUCAUUUCCAAUUUCUACGGUGUAAAUAAUCACACUGUGGCCAAUUUCAAUAUGAUGUUAUUGAACAUGGAGUUAGGAAGAUAUGUUAACCAUAGGCUCUUACAAGCUGGUACCAGCUAACGCCCUAACACCACUGAUUUUACCUUUUUUUGGUGUUUAAACUUGACAUUUCCCCUUGUCUAAUCUUAAUAUUGUUACUGCUGAAUUGUUUUGGUUUGGAUUUGCCCUAUGUCUUUGCAUAUUUCUUUAUUCCCAAUCGUUAUAAAUAAAUUUUAAAUGUUUCCC
rnacentral:lncRNA from 1 species